CUCCUCACAGCGCUCAAUCCCGGCGAGUGCAGGCAUCACUGAAGACCUGACAUCGGCGGAAUCGGACGUCCACUGUCCUCGGCAGAAUUAACCAGGUGUUAUCUUAUGCAAACUUUAUCGCCAUCAGAUGAAGCCUGACAAUCCCCUCGAUGAGAAUGGCCCUGCUUCGCCGGAGGAACAGACUUUUUUCCGUCUCCAAACGACCGGAGAGGCGCAGGGGCGAGACAAUAACGCCCAGAAGUUAUUGAAAUGAAUCGUCACGAAAGCUGGCAGGAGAAGAAGAAAACAGAACAAGCACUAGCAGCGUUAUCCUUCCCUCCACCACAGAGGGAAGGAAGGGAAGCAGAGCGCAAUGAGGAAAAAGACAAGAGUGAUGAAAGAGAGGUCCAGACACGAAGGAGGCACGCACGCUCAGACACACACACAUACAACGGCACCUAGAGUCUGUCUGCGGUCUACCCCCACCCUGCCACACACACACACGCCUUUUACGGGCAACAGAUAAAGAGGGAGACGCCAUUCCAGCUGUGAGAAGACGGAAGAAGUCAACAUACACACUCACACAAACACACUAACACACACAUACACACACACAGCCGGAGGCGCGUGAGCAGGUGAGCAUUAAGUCAGGCAGCUAAACAGAUCACGUCGCGGUAUGAUAUCUGCAGACAGGCAGACAGAGGAGGCCGGUCUGUACCUGCAGGCAGAGAGCAACAACUCACAGCACCCUCGCCAGGAAUUUCCUCCCCCUCCUGAAAGAGAGAGAGGGAGGGGAGGUAGAGAGAGAGAGAGAGAGAGAGAGAGACAGACAGACAUAAACUGGGGUUUAUGCUUAAGUGUUUUGCAAGCCAAAUAGUAAAGUUUGAUUAGAAGCUGGCUGGCAAGUUUUUCACAUACCUUCAGUAUUUUAACUUUGACAUGAAGCAGAUAUUUUUGGUGUUUAUGAGAAGAUUUGAUAAGAAGCAAUAGAGACACAUUUACUUUUCAUGAAAACAUUUCAAAACAGGCUUUGGAAUUCUUGUCGGUUAAAUUUUUGUGCAUUGAGACUAGCCAGAACUCUAAAACACAAAAGUUUUGAAUGCACUAUAUAUAAGCGACGGAAAGAAACGAAAGAAAGACAAGAAACGGCAUUUUCAAAGAACUUUAAAUAUUACCAAAGAUAGCUGACAAUGAACGCUAACAUCAUUACCCAGUUCAUCAAUGUCUUCAUAUUCUUGUAGCAGGUUAAAACGGCCCUCCGAUGGUGGGUCACGGAUGCCAGUCAGUCAGUGGUGUCGUGUUAUACAGUUACUGGAAAUGUUUUUGCGUUUUAUUUUCAUUUUCAACCAAUUUUAUGAUAACAACUUCGCCUCAGAGAUGUUUUUGUUUUAGUUUUAUCAACAUUUUUUUUUUUUUUUUCAAGCUUUUGUUUAUCUAAAAUUAUCUUCAUGGAAACACAAUGAUGUAAGGCUACACCUAUAACAGUGAGAACUCAGAGAUGUGCCCCCUCCUUUGGUUGGCCACAUUUUUAGCCCAACAUUCUCCCUUAAACCCCAGUUGAUGAAAGGUUAUCCUUCCACAUAAAAAAAGGAACGCCACAUUCACACGCUACUGUAAUAUCGAGUACAGAUGGUUCUUUUGUUAUUUUGGAGUAAUUCGAUCACCUCCUGUAUAAUUUGUCUUUCUGGAAUUACUUGGGUGUUUUGACAAGGUCCGCAAUACUAAUUGUAAAUCUUUGACAGUAUCCGUUACGCAAACUUGUUCUGCUAGUUUGCUUUUGUUAACGCUCCUUUAAACAGCCAUGACAUUUUUUUAUUUAUUUAUUUUUUUUUAAUUUUUACGGCUUCCUUUCAUUCACAGUCUGCGCAGCAUAUGUAGCCUUUAUCUGUGGUGUCUUGUGUCACAUUCAUAGUUGUAAUUCCCCUUUGGGAGAUGCCCAUUACAGUUGUGGUUUUCUGCCGAGCAGCUUCAUUGAACCAACUGUGGGUUAUGUUGUUACUCAAGAGAACCUCAACAGUGGUGACUAAAUAAGGGUGAGCCAUCACUUCACAUCUCCUGCACAGAUUUUUCAAACUGGUCCAGCAAUUUACUGCCUCUUAAAGUCACAAACGUGCUUCUCAUCUCUCCAAUCUACCCUUGUCCUUGAAUUUAAGUUGUAUCAGAGAGAUGGACCAUGUUCUGUGAUAACCAUUAUUCCUUGGCUGAAGUUUUUUUUCUUGUGUUUUUCAAAGCUCUUUAUAUUUAGCCAGCAAAAACGCCUCUUGAAAUUUUUACAAGUCACAACUCUCCCCACAUAAACCACCACAUCCACUUAUCUAAAAAUGAUUCACUGGUUAAAUGUCAGAGCUGUCCGUGCCAUUAAGGCCAGCAUGUUUGAAGGAAGGACACCCUUGCCUGCCCUCUCCCUCCUCCCCCCUCUGUCUCCUCUUAUUCCUCUCACUCUCCCCCUUCUCUUCCUCUCUCCUCAUCAUCAACCACCACCCCCACCCGAGCCAGGCUGGUUUGAGGGCUGAUGUGCAGACCUUGUCAUUCAGAUUAGGGCCACAUUGUCAGCUCAGGGCUCUUCUCUCUCUAGUUGCGUGUCCCGGAUCUUUCUUCCUACUGUCACCCUCAUCCUGCGGCCAGAGAAGACCUUAUAAAGCAACAUUCCUUCUCAUCCACUUCUGUCAAUUCCAACACUGUCACUCAAAUCACUGUUCGGGAGAGUGGGAAGAGGCCGAGUUAGUGGUGUCCCUCAUAGCAAGGACUGUGCUUUUCGGUCUGAGCUUGGGUGACGUGUCAGCACCUAGCAAGAGUUAUUUUGAGUUGAGAUUAUUAUUAUUCUUCGUAAUAUUUUUUACUUUUCAAAGUAAUACAAUAAUAGAGAUACAAAGGAAAUGACGUAAGUAGAAGUUUCAAAAGAGAGAACAAAAGCAGUCUGCUCUUUAAGUAGAAAGUCUCAUACUCAUUGUGUUGUGCUUAAUAGUAAAGGCUAUCAGUCAUGGUGUUGUUUUUAACUCUACGUUUUCUGUAUGAAAUGAGUAUCUGGCAAGGAAUGAGAUAUCCACCGCCUCAUCUUAGUCACUCCUUAUCCUGCUCUGUAAAAGAGACCCAGCAACAUAUUUAUCCUCCAACCACAUUUUGACUCACCGCCACAGUUUUAUUGUCACGUCGUAUGUAAUUGCUACAGCAGCUUUGUGGCAUUUGAUGUUCGUGCUUCUCACAAACUCUGUGCUUUUUUUCUUGUGAUGAGCAACAAUGAUUCAGCAGUGCGUAAGAAAACCUAUCAUGCAAGAUGGUGGACAGUUCCUUUACUGGUAUUAGUACAAAAGGGAAAAAAACACCCUAGUCUUCAACCACAGUGCCACGUCAUAGCGAAACAACAAACACUAUUGAUCUAGGUGAGUCGACAGUUUCAUACACAGUGUCUUCCUCACCCUCCACCUUGCAUGAAGCCCUCGGGGCUUGCUGGUUCCUCUCUAUAGGGCGCGCCACUGUGCUUCAAUACAGCAAACAACAACUAGCUGCAGGUGCUGUUUACUAAAACUCGGUAUGAGUCAGGGGUUUCAAGAUGACUUCCCUCUUCUAACUGCUACUUGCAGUGAAAUAAAAUGUGGUCCCAUACACCUAUACUGUAUUUGGUGUCAUAAUGACCAUGUGUCACGGAAGUUGCCACGGUUGAAGAAGAGGUGGGGUAAUAAAUCAAUAAUAAAAUUAAUUUUAUAUUUCUGCAUGUUUGUUUUCUCAUAUCAGUCCUUUUCCCUGUUUCUUAUCGACAGGUAUAGUAUGUAAAUGACCAACACUAGAAUUUGGACAAAAAGCAUGAUGUAUGCAUGUAUAUAUAAAUGGUAUGCAUUUGGAAACUCUUUAAGUAAGACCUCUAAUGUAAAUAGAUACAGAAUAUAUUUAAUUUAGACAUUUGUAGAGAUAGCAUCAUCAAAGUACAUUAACACUCAUGACUUUUUCAGUGUUCUUCCCGCUCAGAGAAUGAAAGAGGGAUUUAGUGAGAGAGGGUGUGAGUUAAAAGCCUCUCCACCCACAGAGAAGACUUGCUCCCUCUGCAUCUCUAAGCAGACUGUCAUCCCUGGUCACCAUCAGGUCUGUGCUCACCCCAGUGAACAUUCAACGCUGUCGGUGAGUUUUCAGCUAAAUUGAAAAAACCAUCGACCGUUGAUUGUACCCUGUGGCCAGCCGUUGUCACUCAGCAUCUCAAAAAAGAAGGAAAAAGAGUCAAACCUUAUGUAGAAACCUGCACACAGGCAUGGCCAAUGACUCUUUGAACAAUUGUAUGAAGAGCACUAUGUCUAUCCUCCACAAUCAAACAAACAAAAAAAUACUUCCAGCUUCCAAACCACAGCAAAGGUCACAAUCAACAUUCAUUGCUGUCGGUGGGUUUAACUGUGUGGAAGAGCUCACUGAACGAUGAAUGCAACUGUGUCCCAGAUUUCAUCCGAACGUCAGAAGGAAUAGCAUCACGAUAUGCUGAUGAUGGCAUUAUUUAUUUCUUCGCCUUUCUCCCCCCCCCCUCGCCUCCUACCAACAACAGGCACAUACAGGCGGUGUGAAUUGACAGGCAGUUCAGAUUGCAUCUCGAUCACGCUUGCUGGGGCGGGGGGUCCGAGUCUGGCUACAGCAACAGAGGAAGAAAAAAAGAGAUAAGAGAUAGUUGGAAGAAAAUGACCUUUAAAGAAAAAUACACCGAUUAUACAUGGCUUGCAUUGCUUCUAUGAGCUGAUAAAUGAUUUAGUUGUUGUAAAUAUUACAUGAAAAAUAAACCGCAAGGAUAUGUUGAAUAUAUACAGAUGAAUCCCAACAUGGUAAGUGACCUUUUUGGAUGAAAAAGAAUUUAGACAUUAAAAGUCAUCAUUUUAUCAGCCGAAUUCUUCAAGAUAAGACGGACAGAUAAAUACAAUGUAAAUCUAAAUAUUUUAAAAAGCCAUAAUUUUUUUUAAUGUUGAAGUCAGUUUGGUAGAACAGAUACUUCCACAGCUUUCAAAUGUAGACGUGUCAUUUUGGAACACGGCUGUAUAUUAUGUAGAAUAAAAUAUAUAGUUGUUUUUCAUCCAUGUCUCAUUGCUGCCUGGCACACCAUUCAAGAACCAUUAUGUUAUGUUAACUGUGUAAUACUGAUGCAUGCUAUUCCAUGUUGUUGUAUUUUAUCAAAUAAACUGUCACCACCAGUUCAGCCCUAA